UACAGAGGUCUCAAGCGUUGUUCGGAUUCAUUGGGCGUAAAGGGCGCGUAGGCGGCCUUCUAAGUCGAACGUGAAAUCCCCGGGCUCAACCCGGGAACUGCGUCCGAUACUGGAAGGCUUGAAUCCGGGAGAGGGAUGCGGAAUUCCAGGUGUAGCGGUGAAAUGACGUAGAUAUGCGGAGGAACACCGAUGGCGAAGGCGGGUCUCUGGGGCCGAUACUGACGCUGAGGAGCGAAAGCGUGGGGAGCGAACAGG
rnacentral:rRNA from 1 species